rnacentral:rRNA from 1 species
CUCUGUGGGAUCAGUGGCGAACGGGUGAGUAACACGUGAGCAACCUGCCCCUGACUCUGGGAUAAGCGCUGGAAACGGCGUCUAAUACUGGAUACGAGUAGCGGCCGCAUGGUCAGUUACUGGAAAGAUUUAUUGGUUGGGGAUGGGCUCGCGGCCUAUCAGCUUGUUGGUGAGGUAAUGGCUCACCAAGGCGUCGACGGGUAGCCGGCCUGAGAGGGUGACCGGCCACACUGGGACUGAGACACGGCCCAGACUCCUACGGGAGGCAGCAGUGGGGAAUAUUGCACAAUGGGCGCAAGCCUGAUGCAGCAACGCCGCGUGAGGGAUGACGGCCUUCGGGUUGUAAACCUCUUUUAGCAGGGAAGAAGCGAAAGUGACGGUACCUGCAGAAAAAGCGCCGGCUAACUACGUGCCAGCAGCCGCGGUAAUACGUAGGGCGCAAGCGUUAUCCGGAAUUAUUGGGCGUAAAGAGCUCGUAGGCGGUUUGUCGCGUCUGCUGUGAAAUCCGGAGGCUCAACCUCCGGCCUGCAGUGGGUACGGGCAGACUAGAGUGCGGUAGGGGAGAUUGGAAUUCCUGGUGUAGCGGUGGAAUGCGCAGAUAUCAGGAGGAACACCGAUGGCGAAGGCAGAUCUCUGGGCCGUAACUGACGCUGAGGAGCGAAAGGGUGGGGAGCAAACAGGCUUAGAUACCCUGGUAGUCCACCCCGUAAACGUUGGGAACUAGUUGUGGGGUCCAUUCCACG